rnacentral:rRNA from 1 species
AUUGAACGCUGGCGGCAGGCCUAACACAUGCAAGUCGAACGAGUGGCGGACGGGUGAGUAAUGUCUGGGAAACUGCCUGAUGGAUGGGGAUAACUACUGGAAACGGUAGCUAAUACCGCAUACCAUCGGAUGUGCCCGGAUGGGAUGAGCUAGUGGGUGGGGUAAAGGCUGACCUAGGCGACGAUCCCUUCCUGGUCUGAGAGGAUGACCAGCCACACUGGAAAUGAGACACGGUCCAGACGCCUACGGGAGGCAGCAGUGGGGAAUAGUGGACAAUGGGCGAAAGCCUGAUGCAGCCAUGCCGCGUGUGUGAAGAAGGCCUUCGGAUUGUAAAGUACUUUCAGCGGGGAGGCGUUACCCACAGAAGAAGCACCGGCUAACUCCGUGCCAGCAGCCGCGGUAAUAC